GAAACUUGCAGAGAUGAAUAGAAUAUGGGAGCAGAAAUUCAAGAUGCUUUUGGAGAAAAACAAUAAUAUUGCAUCACCUAUGGAGGAUUCCCAAGAUGAUGAAAUUGGAGGAUGAUUUGCAGUAUAUUUGAAGUUUUGGAUUUUGAAGCAGCCAGCAGCCUUAUAAUACUACUUUUA